GGAAAACACAGGCUCUCUCCUGAGUUUAGGGUGAGUGGGGCAGCUGACAAAUGGUUGUGGUUUACUGAACAUCUCAAUUCCAGAGAAGUUAUAAAUGCAUUCAACCACGUGUCUCUCCAACAAACAUCCAUGGAGCACCUGCUCUGGCCCAGGUUUUGUUCCAGGCACUCUUGACACAGUCCCUGUCCUUGUGGAGCUCCGUUUGUGUUUACUGUUUACCAUUCAAUAAACAAGUAACAGAUCUGGUCCUGCUACUCCCCAGCUGGAGCAACUGGGCAGGAACUUCACCUCCCCAAGUGUCAUCAGUUUUCUCAUCUGAAAAAUGGGACAUCAAAUUCCUCUUGUAUAGGGCCAUUUGGAGAAGCAAAUAGUGAAGAUUAUAAUAAUAAUGUUGAUAAUUACAAUAAGAUAGCUCACAAUUUCAGAGCGCUCACUUUGUUUCCAGGCCCAUGUUAAAUGAUUUACAUGUCUCAACACAUUGAGUCUUCACAGCAGACUUAUUAGGGAAGGCUGACAAUGGCAGCUCCAUAUUGUUGGUGCCUCGGCUGCCAACUUGAGGCUCUGCCUUCCUCCAAGUUGCCUUGAUGGCUCCAUGUCCACAUUCCAGCCACUAGGAAAAGAAAAAGGGAGGGAAUAUUCCCUCCCUUCAAAGUACAACCUGGAAGUUGUCCACGCAGUUUAGGAUCACAUCCCAUUGGCCAGCAUGUUGUCACGUGACCACAUGUAACUGCAGGGGAGGCUGGGAAAUGUAGUCUCUAUUCUAGGUAGCCCAGAGCUCACCUGUGGGUUCAUUACCAUGGAAGAGGGCAAGGUACUGAGGGACAACGAAAGCAUUUUAUGGAGGGGGAAACUAAGGCCCAGAGUGGUUAAACAGCUCCUCCAAGUUCACACAGAGAGCAAGGAAAUAAAACAAGAGUUUAUAUAUGAAGUGCCUGGCACCCCAUAGAUGCUCAAAGCCUUCUCCCAGACCCUCGUAGCAUGUUGAAUUGUGUCCCCCAGAAAGACCUGUCCAGGAGACCUCAGCCCUGGUGCCUGGAAACGUGACCUUAUUUGGAAAUAGUGUCUUUGCAGAUGUAAUUAAGUAAAGGAUCUUGAGAUAAGAUCAUCUUGGAUUUCGGGUGGGCCUGGAGUCCUUAUAGGAGAAAGGAGAGGGUGAUUGGAGACACAAGGAUGCAGAGAAGAAGGGCACGAGAGGACAGAGAUUGGAGUGACACGUCUGCAAGUCAAGGGCCGCCAAGGAUUGCUGCCUGCCACCAGACGUGAGGAGAGCGGCAUGGAAGGAACCCUUCAGAGCCUCCAGGAGGAAACAACUUGGCCAACACCUUGAUUUCCGUCUUCUGGCCUUCAGAACUGCGAGGGAACACAUCCCUGUUGUCUUAAGCCCCCCAGUUCGUGGUAAUUUGUUAUGGCAGACAUAAGAAUAUGAGACAAACUUCUUCCAUACGUCCUCUUAGUGUCAUCCACUGCAGUUGAUCGGUUUUGAGGGUCCUCUUUAGAGAAGGAUGCUGGAGUUUUCCUGGACCUCCAAGGCUGGUGAGUUUUCUCAGCCCCUGAAACCCAUAUCCGUCAGGCCAUCUAGGUGAGAUCCCAAAAUAACCCAAAGUCUUCCCAGAUAACUUCUCAAGCAAAGAUCCAAUAGCCCCAUUCCCUCC